UUAUUUGAGAGUUUGAUCCUGGCUCAGGAUGAACGCUGGCGGCGUGCCUAACACAUGCAAGUUGAGCGAUUUACUUCGGUAAAGAGCGGCGGACGGGUGAGUAACGCGUGGGUAACCUACCCUGUACACACGGAUAACAUACCGAAAGGUAUGCUAAUACGGGAUAAUAUAUUUGAGAGGCAUCUCU
rnacentral:rRNA from 1 species